rfam:Lingula anatina scaffold279, whole genome shotgun sequence.
CUCGCGAUAGCUCAGUUGGUAGAGCGGAGGACUGUAGUGGACGAUAAAAGACAUCCUUAGGUCGCUGGUUCAAAUCCGGCUCGCGAGA